rnacentral:rRNA from 1 species
CACGUAGGGUGCGAGCGUUGUCCGGAAUUAUUGGGCGUAAAGAGCUCGUAGGCGGUGUGUCGCGUCGGCCGUGAAAACCUGCAGCUUAACUGUGGGCUUGCGGUCGAUACGGGCAUCACUGGAGUUCGGCAGGGGGAGACUGGAAUUCCUGGUGUAGCGGUGAAAUGCGCAGAUAUCAGGAGGAACACCGGUGGCGAAGGCGGGGUCUCUGGGCC